GUCCAAGAUAGAUAUCUAAAGAUGAAAAGUAUUGUUAGGGGUGAGAUAGCUUCCGGAGAUGAUCCGCAGAUCGUUGAACCUUGGAUUAAAAAUUUUUGAAAAGCGAUUUUUCAAUGGAGAAGGGAAUCGGAUCUCCCCGGGAAAGUCGACGGUUUUCACCAGUUGCAGAUUUGCCAGAGUCCCAGGAUUUUAACACAACCACCUAAGAGGCUGCCGUGCGGAGGAGGGUUAACCAUCGCGGUUGGCCGCGAGAUCACCACCAACCUCCUAGCUUCCGAAGCUCUCGCCGCGAGUUUAACCGGUUGUCGGUACUUACUGAAUCUGGAGCGAUUAAUAGCCCGAUGUACAUGCGCAAGCAUAAAUGAAACAUAAUCCCUGGCCAGAGGACGCUUAUGAAUAGACAAUAAAGUGUGAAUUACACUCGUAAUUUGAAAACGGUCGAUCGGAUUAAACUGGACGAUUUUUAUAAAAUUACGCUAAAAGAUAUACUCCCUCGAAUACACGAUAUUAAUUGAUGAAUAUCAUGCGACGAGGGAACCACUAUUUUCUUCCUUCUUUUGUCAAGAAAUAUUUGAUUAAUUUAUUUUAAUAUUCUAUGUGAAUAUUUUAUUAUAUGAUAUAUUAUUAAAGCAAUUUUAUCUGGAAUUUGAAUAUCUAAUGAUAAUGUAAAAAUAGACUUGAUUUGGUUUUGAAAUGGUAAAAAUGAUAAAAAUGUUGAAAAUGUAUUUUAUAGACUUACGUAUGACGUAGAUCACUACAAGAGAAGGUAGCAUAAAGUCGUUUCGCUGUACUGUAGUAGUUAUAUAUAUA
rnacentral:misc_RNA from 1 species